GAUGAACGCUGGCGGCGUGCCUAAUACAUGCAAGUCGAGCGAACGGACGAGAAGCUUGCUUCUCUGAUGUUAGCGGCGGACGGGUAAGUAACACGUGGAUAACCUACCUAUAAGACUGGGAUAACUUCGGGAAACCGGAGCUAAUACCGGAUAAUAUUUUGAACCGCAUGGUUCAAAAGUGAAAGACGGUCUUGCUGUCACUUAUAGAUGGAUCCGCGCUGCAUUAGCUAGUUGGUAAGGUAACGGCUUACCAAGGCAACGAUGCAUAGCCGACCUGAGAGGGUGAUCGGCCACACUGGAACUGAGACAUGGUCCAGACUCCUACGGGAGGCAGCAGUAGGGAAUCUUCCGCAAUGGGCGAAAGCCUGACGGAGCAACGCCGCGUGAGUGAUGAAGGUCUUCGGAUCGUAAAACUCUGUUAUUAGGGAAGAACAUAUGUGUAAGUAACUGUGCACAUCUUGACGGUACCUAAUCAGAAAGCCACGGCUAACUACGUG
rnacentral:rRNA from 1 species